rnacentral:piRNA from 1 species
UGCUACAUGUACAGGGUUUUAUCCUAGUG